GAUGAACGCUGACAGAAUGCUUAACACAUGCAAGUCAACUGUGGCGAACGGGUGAGUAACGCGUAAAGAACUUGCCUCACAGCUAGGGACAACAUUUGGAAACGAAUGCUAAUACCUGAUACUGUGAGAGAGCUUUGCGUCCCAUUAGCUAGUUGGAGAGGGAACGGCUCACCAAGGCGAGGAUGGGUAGCCGGCCUGAGAGGGUGAGCGGCCACAAGGGCACUGGGACACUGGCCUUACUCCUACGGGGGGCAGCAGUGGGGGAUAUUGGACAAUGGGCCAAAGUCUGAUCCAGCAAUUCUGUGUGCACGAUGAAGUUUUCGGAAUGUAAAGUGCUUUCAGUUGGGAAGCGGUACCAACAGAAGAAGUGACGGCUAAAUACGUGCCAGCAGCCGCGGUAAUUC
rnacentral:rRNA from 1 species